CUCUCACAUCCGAGUCGCACGCGCGUGCAACACUCUCUGGUGGGUUCUGCACGUUCAGCUUGAAUCGUGAAGCGUGUUCUCGCUUGUUUUGUCGUUGUUAUGACGAGGUGAUGAAUAGACGAAAGCGUUGCAGUGUCGAGCAGCGUAGUGAUCGUGCUCGUCGUCCUGAUGGACGAUGACAAUAAAUAUAGACAGUUUUCGUGGACGCAGAGAAAUGUGCUUAAUGUUGUGAUUUAGUGUUUUCUUUAUAAUAUUUAAUUUACCUCGAAAAGGAUUGGAUUAUACCAUAAAUAAGGUGUAUCAACUAAGGAUAAUGCAUCUCUGUAUCAUCUUUUAGUAGUAGAUAUUCUAACCGGUGAGGCGCUUUCACAACGGGUGAUUGUUCUAAAGAUGUGUCACUCUAUCUUACUCGUUUCUCGAGCCGAUCCCGGUUACUAUGAGAGAAAGAGUAAGCAAACAACAAGAGGGAAAGAACGAUAAAAUGAUUUCGCAUAGGAGGCACGAAAAGAGGCAGAAAGUCACGUCGACUAUAAUCUUUGAUUGUCUAGAGAGCUAUAACGCAUUAUAUUCGUAUUAACACCUUCAGUAACUACAUAUAGUAUAGUAUGAUAUGCUAUUGAAUAAGCUUAUGACUAACUAGAAACUUAUAUAUAUACUUUGAUAUUUACAAUGAAUAUGAUUAGAUAUUUUUAUAAAAAUAAAAUCCGUUAUAUAUUACAUUUCCUAAGAACAAAUAAAAGAUAUUUAUUUAGGAAACAUAUAAUAUUUAUUGUAUAGUUAUAUUAUAUUUCUGAUUAUUUCGUAUAUUUUUAUCGAUAAGUAACGACUUAUUAGAAGCAUCCAUGAUUGUUGUAAAAAUUCAAUUUUUAUAGUUCAUUCAUUAUUAUUAAAAAAACUCAAAUAUUUGUUUCUAUUUAAUUAAUAUAUAAUAUAAUAAUCAUUAUUGAUUAAUAAUAUCAAUAAUCGUAAUUAAUUAUAAAAAUAUUAUCAUUUAAUCAUAUAAUUCGCGAAUAUGUGAAAGAAUAAGCAAUUAAAAUCGCACAAACGAACUGUUCUUUUUCGAUUAUUCAUUAUCUUGCUUGCGGUGAUGAUAAUGUGGUAUGACAUUGUCAGUGACGUUGUUAUCAGUCGAUGUAAAAGAAAAAAAAA